UAUCGCUCUUUUUCUCCCUUCAUUUGCUAUAUCACCUUACCUUCGUUGCAAAUCCAGAUUUUGCAGCAAGUACGAGACUCAUUGGAACUGCGAAAGACCACAACUUCGGAAACUCCGAUAGAGUGUGAAUUAAUUGUGUGGGAAACAGAGAAUUGAAACAGAAUGAGCACGAAGACAGCGAGACCUCGUACACGUGUGGGGAAGUACGAGUUGGGAAAAACAAUAGGCGAGGGAAGCUUUGCGAAGGUCAAGUUCGCGAAGAACGUCGAGACCGGAAACUAUGUUGCCAUCAAAAUCCUCGACCGUAAUCACGUGCUCCGCCACAAGAUGAUGGAACAGCUGAACAAAGAAAUUUCAGCGAUGAAGCUGAUCAAUCAUCCAAACGUUGUCAAAAUAUUUGAGGUGAUGGCAAGCAAAACAAAGAUUUACAUUGUCCUGGAGUUGGUUAAUGGAGGAGAACUAUUUGACAAAAUAGCUAAAGAUGGGAGACUUAAAGAGGAUGAAGCAAGAAGUUAUUUCCAACAACUAAUCAAUGCAGUUGAUUACUGCCAUAGUAGAGGCGUGUAUCACCGAGAUUUGAAGCCCGAGAAUCUUCUUCUGGAUUCAAAUGGUGUUCUUAAAGUUUCAGAUUUUGGACUGAGUACGUACUCACAGCAGGAGGAUGAACUCCUCCGCACUGCUUGUGGAACUCCAAAUUAUGUUGCUCCUGAGGUGCUUAAUGAUAGAGGUUAUGUUGGUUCUGCAUCUGAUAUUUGGUCUUGUGGAGUCAUUCUCUUUGUACUUAUGGCUGGUUACUUGCCGUUUGAUGAGCCAAAUCAAAUGGCACUGUACAAGAAAAUUAGCAAGGCUGAUUUCGCAUGUCCAUCUUGGUUUUCACCUGAGGCAAAGAAACUACUGAACUGUAUUCUUGACCCAAACCCUCUUACCAGGAUAAAAAUUCCUGAAAUCUUAGAAGAUGAAUGGUUCAAAAAAGGAUACAAGCCAGCAUCUUUUACAGAGGAAGAGGAUGUAAAUGUAGAUGAUGUAGCUGCUGCUUUCAAUGAUUCUAAGGAAAAUCUCGUGACAGAGAGAAAAGAGAAACCCGAGUCUAUGAAUGCUUUUGAGCUCAUUUCUAGGUCGCAAAGCUUCAAUCUUGACAGCUUAUUUGAGAAGCAGACAGGGAUUGUAAAGCGGGAAACACAUUUUACGUCACAGCGCCCUGCAAAUGAAAUUAUGUCUAAAAUUGAGGAAGCUGCCAAGCCUCUGGGCUUUAAUGUUCACAAGCGAAAUUAUAAGAUGAAGCUGCAAGGUGAUAAAACCGGAAGGAAGGGUCACCUUUCAGUGGCUACUGAGGUUUUCGAAGUGGCUCCCUCUUUGCACAUGGUUGAGCUGCGAAAGACUGGGGGUGACACACUAGAGUUUCAUAAGGCAAGUGAACAUUUUAAUUCUGAUUUUGUUGUUAUUGUGGAACAAGAAAAGAAAUCUAUUCAUUUUUGGAACUUAUUUUGAUCUCUUACUACUACUGAGAUAAGAACCAAUGUUUCUAGUUCUGUUAUCAAGUGAAUGCCUCAAAGUCUCUUUCAUUUCCUUUGUAUUUUUGUUGAGAUAUACGUCUCCUCACACGAGAGCUCACUGGGCUUGAAGAGUGGACAAUGCACAGACCCACCUACCUGUGCGAAGAAAGAAAUUCCACUAGAAAGAAAGUGGGGAGCGUUCUACAAAAACUUUUCAUCAGGGUUGCAAGACAUAGUAUGGCAUCCUGAAGAAAAAUAGUGAAGAAUCAAGAUGCUAGAGCUAUGCACUGGUUGAUGGAAGGCAUUAUGUUUGGCUAAAGCUGGAACAUAUGUUAGUUGGGAGAGUCUGGUUUAAAUGUUUGAUAGGAGAAAAAAAAUAGAUCCUACAAAACUUAGGGCAUAUAAUUCCUUCAACUUUAAAUUUGUACUUAUCAAAAUAUUUCAUGAUCUUUAUUCAGUGGCUCAAAAUAACUUUUAAAAAUGAUAGUUUCCCAAAGAGA